rnacentral:rRNA from 1 species
GAUGAACGCUAGCGGCAGGCUUAAUACAUGCAAGUCGUGGGGCAGCAGGACUGUAGCAAUACAGUUGCUGGCGACCGGCAAACGGGUGCGGAACACGUACGCAACUUACCCUGAACUGGGGGAUAGCCCGGGGAAACCCGGAUUAAUACCCCGUAAUAUAAUAUAGUGGCAUCACUUUAUUAUUAAAGCUCCGGCGGUUCGUGAUGGGCGUGCGUCUGAUUAGGUAGUUGGUUGAGGUAACGGCUCACCAAGCCUACGAUCAGUAACUGGUGUGAGAGCACGACCAGUCACACGGGGACUGAGACACGGGACCGAGUCCCAGGGGAGGGAGCAGUAAGGAAAAGUGAGGAAGGGAGGGAACUCUGACCCAGCCAUGCCGCGUGGAGGAGGAAGGACCUCGGGGUUGUAAACUUCUUUUAUAGGGGACGAAACCUGUGUAUUCUUAAGCAGUUGACGGUACCCUACGAAUAAGCACCGGCUAACUCCGUG